AUACGGAGGGGGCUAGCGUUGUUCGGAAUUACUGGGCGUAAAGCGUACGUAGGCGGACUGAUCAGUUGGGGGUGAAAUCCCAGGGCUUAACCCUGGAACUGCCUUCAAUACUGUCAGUCUUGAGUUUGGGAGAGGUGAGUGGAAUUCCUAGUGUAGAGGUGAAAUUCAUAGAUAUUAGGAGGAACACCAGUGGCGAAGGCGGCUCACUGGCCCAUUACUGACGCUGAGGUACGAAAGCAUGGGGAGCAAACAGGAUUAGAAACCCCUGUAGUCC
rnacentral:rRNA from 1 species